AACGAACGCUGGCGGCAGGCCUAAAACAUGCAAGUCGAACGCUGUAGCAACACAGAGUGGCGCACGGGUGAGUAACACGUGGGAAUGUGCCUUUUGGUACGGAACAACUUUUGGAAACGAAAGCUAAUACCGUAUGGUCCCUUCGGGGUAAAGAUUUAUCGCCAAAAGAGCAGCCCGCGUCUGAUUAGCUAGUUGGUAGGGUAAUGGCCUACCAAGGCGACGAUCAGUAGCUGGUCUGAGAGGACGAUCAGCCACACUGGGACUGAGACACGGCCCAGACUCCUACGGGAGGCAGCAGUUAGGAAUAUUGGACAAUGGGCGCAAGCCUGAUCCAGCCAUGCCGCGUGAGUGAUGAAGGCCUUCGGGUUGUAAAGCUCUUUAGUCCACGAAUAUAAUGACUGUAGUGGAAGAAUAAGCCCCGGCUAACUUCGUGCCAGCCGCCGCAGUAACAC
rnacentral:rRNA from 1 species